rnacentral:rRNA from 1 species
ACGGGAGGCAGCAGUAGGGAAUCUUCGGCAAUGGACGGAAGUCUGACCGAGCAACGCCGCGUGAGUGAAGAAGGUUUUCGGAUCGUAAAGCUCUGUUGUAAGAGAAGAACGAGUGUGAGAGUGGAAAGUUCACACUGUGACGGUAUCUUACCAGAAAGGGACGGCUAACUACGUGCCAGCAGCCGCGGUAAUACGUAGGUCCCGAGCGUUGUCCGGAUUUAUUGGGCGUAAAGCGAGCGCAGGCGGUUAGAUAAGUCUGAAGUUAAAGGCUGUGGCUUAACCAUAGUACGCUUUGGAAACUGUUUAACUUGAGUGCAAGAGGGGAGAGUGGAAUUCCAUGUGUAGCGGUGAAAUGCGUAGAUAUAUGGAGGAACACCGGUGGCGAAAGCGGCUCUCUGGCUUGUAACUGACGCUGAGGCUCGAAAGCGUGGGGAGCAAACAGGAUUAGAUACCCUGGUAGUCCACGCCGUAAACGAUGAGUGCUAGGUGUUAGACCCUUUCCGGGGUUUAGUGCCGCAGCUAACGCAUUAAGCACUCCGCCUGGGGAGUACGACCGCAAGGUUGAAACUCAAAGGAAUUGACGGGGGCCCGCACAAG